CGAGAUCGUCUCACCGGCAGAGGUCACGUGGCCUCGGGGACAAUAACGUACGUAUGUAUAACUGCCGAGCGAUCAUAACAUUCCUUGACGCGAAGGUAAACGGAUCGGGAGACGUAGCCCGUGAUUGCCGAUCUUUCCGGUUUGCGUGAGACUUGUUAUAUUGCGCGUUACUGAUUAUAUUCGCGUGUGUGAUCAUAGUGCUGCGAUCAUCUUGCAGCGGCAGUAUCCCGUGGUCUUGAGGAUCAGUCGGAACUUACGGCCACACGGUGGUUGCAGUUCUCGGGGAGGCACGUGGAUGCCUUACCGGAGGAUCCGGUUCGGACCAACUUGAAGAUUUGUAGCAGAACGUGGCCGAUCCUAGGUUGGCGGUAUUUCGAUUGGCGACACCGAAUUACACCAACGGCGGUUUCCUACGAGCGAGAAGGAGAGAAAGAGGAAAAGAGAAGGAGACGGCAGGAGAAGGAGGAGAAAGAGGAGGAGAGAGAGAGAGAUGAAAGAAGAGGACGACGACGACAGUGGAGUACAGCGAAACCCGCCUCUAUAAGCAUCGUGCUAUAUUGUCCGAAAGCACACUUGGAUCGUGCCGGCGUCAGUUGCGAUCGUCGUAAGGCAACGGAGCAACGCGUGCUGCUGGUUUCACCUCGCUCCUGUCUUCUCCACGUAUAUUUAUGUAAGUACAGUCGGCCGAUAUAAUAACACGCGGUAUUGUGCGCGCCGCGCCGCGCCGGCGAUGACGGUGGCACACGCCACUGCCAUAUGCCACGCGAAAUUACCGUCAUCGCCGGUUAAUUGUGAGAUAAUAGAAUAAUGAGACCAGUGAAUUUUCAUUAAGUUUCGCCCUUUUUUCUUUCCUUUUUUCUUUGAACCGGCGCGGGGUGCGACAUGAAAAAAAUUCGUCGUUACGUCACACUUUCUUCAUCUGUCGGAUAACUUUAUAUUCUCCCGUCGUGACACAUUUGAAUCAUCGCGCCUAACACCUUGUGACCGCUCUUAUUAGUCUUUUGCUUCCUUUCGUUCGACUCAUUAUUUAUUUGUUUAUUCAUUUACUUUUUUGAAGGACUCAUUUUGUCAUUGAAGAUUAUUCGUCGCGUAAUCUAUUAUAUUGAAAAAUGAUAUAUAAGCCAAUGGACAAUAAGAGUCAACUGCCGAUCCAAUAUAUGUAUAUGUAUAUGUAUAUUAAAAAGUGUACACGUAAGUAUAAUUGCAAGUCAGAAUGCUUCGUCAUCUUUUGACGAACAUUUUAUCAUCUAGCCUCGUUUUAGUUAAUUGUACCAAUAUACCCAAAUAAGACAAAAAUUUAAGAUGUUUAUUAAUAGUUAUG